AAAUUGAAAUUUUUUAACAUAAAUGCGUAAUUUAAUUCAAAAUAUUAUUUGUUUUAAAAUUUAAAACAUUAUUCUAAAAAGAGAUCGAGACUCCGUGGCGAGUUUCGCGCCGAUAUUGAUAGCUCGCGACGUUGCGUUGUGACUUGUGACGUGCGGGGUUAGUAUUUGCGUUUUGUUGGAAACUUAAUGUGUGGGCUGGAAUAAGAGGCACUGACAUACUUGGUCCAGUUAUUCUCCCAGAUAUUUUAACUGGAAGAACCUACGUCGAUUUUUUAACAGAAAAUUUACCAGAUUUCCUAGAAAAUGUACCAUUAUUUGAAAGAAACAAGAUUAUCUUUCAACAAGACGGGCCAAACAAUGCCAGGAUUGUUACGAAUUACUUAAACGAGCAUUUCUCCGGACACUGGAUGGGUCGAUACGGCCCGAUGCGUUGGCCCGCAAGAUCUCCGGAUCUUAAUCUUCUGGACUUCUUCUUAUGGGGAUAUUGUAAGGAAGUAAUUUAUAAAACGCUUCCCGAAGAUAUCGAAAACCUAGAGACAAGAUUACGAUUUGCUGUUCGGGAUAUCGACGAAGAAGUAAUGGAGAAUGUCGAAAGAAAUUUAUUAAAACGCAUGAGAGCAUGCGUUAGGAUGGAUGGCGGGCAUUUUGAGCAUCUAGUUAAAAAAAUUUUUUAACCAAUUCGCUCUUUUUAGAGCGACCAAUACAUUUCGACGGUGGAACAUCUCUCAUGAGCAGAAUAAAAAUUAAUUUUCUCAAAUGUAAUUUAUUAAUUACAUUAUUCUUGCGAUUGAUUGAGACUUUUGUAUUGUAACUGCAAUAGUUUCGAAAACGUAAUAACGUAUAAUACAUGCUUUUUAAAAUAAUAAUUAUUUAUUAUAAUUAGAAAUAGUUACUAAUUAUAAUCAAUAAUUAAUUUUUUUAAGUACGUCAUACGUUUCACAUUUUCUACCGAAUUAGCAGUGCAAAGGUUUUAGCCGAUCGUUUGUCUUAUCUCGCCGCUCGCGUCAAUUACGCGCCACGCAGCCAAGGAUGCGGCGCCGUAGAUGGCAACAGUCGCGACAGCGACUUCUACCACGGCGCCGGCAUUCUUGAUCCCAGUCGCUGCACGUUGUAAACAUAACCCUCGUAGUCAUCGUCGUGCAAUCUUUGCGGUCCGUCGCUUCGCGUCGAGUCCUUCGAAUGCUAUUUGCAUUCGCGUUUCUUUUAAAGUAAUUUUUGGAAACGAUGAGUAAAGUAAUUUUUGGAAAUCGAUAGUGAAUGAAUAAACAGUAAACCCGUAAUUUGUAUUGUGUCAAUUGAAUGUAAUUAGCAAAAACGAGAAAGUUGGAUGUGUCGCACAUCUUUAAAAACCAUCUCUAAUGAUUGUUCAUAAGCAUAAAAAUUGGCUACGCUGCUACAAGAUCUGAGCGUGGCUUAGGAUAAACAGAAACAAAUUGAAGAAGAUAAUACAAAAAUUACGGUAUAACACACAAUCAAGGAACAUAAUUACUUUACAGAGGAACGAAAAAUGUAGUUAGAAUAGAUGAAAAAAUAUUAGAAGGAUUUUAGACAACGAAAGUAAACAUCUUUGUGCCCACUGAAUCCGACGUUAUUUACGUUAUACAUGGCAAACUUAGAAGAAUAUAUAAAAGAAGUACAAGCAGAGGAAUCGUGAUAAGUAGGGAGAAAAUUUGAUCACUUAUACGAAUGAAGUAUUAAUAGCGAAAGGCCCUAAGAAAUUGAAAGAAAUUAUAAAUAGAUCUCAAAUCAUAUUUUAAGAAAAAAAGGAGCUAAAUUUAAAUAUAGAAAGAUCAAAAGUUUUAGUGUUCACUAAAGGAAAUGGAAAGAAAAAUUAAAAAAAUUGGAAGUAGUGAAAUAAAAAAAUCAAAGAAGUUAAAUGAUUCAAAUAUUUAGGGUAUUACUUUAAAAAAAAAACGGAGAGACACAUAAGAAAGACAGUUAAAAAAGAAAGGAUCCAAUGGAAUAGGCAUGGGGAAUAGGACAAUCAAAUUAAAAAAUUGUUUCGAAAAAAGACUAAGUUUCACAGUUUAAUAAAAAAUAUUUUACUGUAUGCAGCUAAAAUUUGGGCUGAAAAGAAAUAAAAGUUGAGACAAUUCAAAAGAAGUAUAUCAGAUUAACUUUAGAUUUUAACACUCCAAUAUCUAGUACUAAAGAAGAAAAAAACAAAUAAAGUAAGGAUAGAAGCUGGAAGAAGAGUGGUGAAAUACGAAGAAAAGAAAAAAAAGUAAAGAAGAAUAAGAUAAUUCUGGAAUGUUGAAGAGAAAUUAAAGGAAAGAAGGAAGUAAAAGGAUCGAAG